CCCGGUGCCUAUGUCCACUGAACGCGCCCGAUCCCGUCCGAUUUUGGAAGCUAAGCGGUCCCGGGCCCGGCUAGUACCUGGAUGGGAGACCGCCUGAGANGGAAGCUAAGCGGUCCCGGGC
rnacentral:rRNA from 1 species